GACGGGGGCCCGCACAAGCAGCGGAGCGUGUGGUUUAAUUCGAUGCUACACGAAGAACCUUACCAGGGUUUGACAUACAAGUAGUAGGGAAGGAAACUGGACCGACCUUCGGGGAGCUUAUACAGGUGUUGCAUGGCUGUCGUCAGCUCGUGUCGUGAGAUGUUCGGUUAAGUCCGCUAACGAGCGCAACCCUCGCCGUAUGUUACAAGUGUCAUACGGGACUGCCGGUAAAAGCCGGAGGAAGGUGAGGAUGAUGUCAAGUCAGCAUGACCUUUAUAUCCAGGGCUACACACACGCUACAAUGGUCUGUACAAUUGGUUGCCAAGCCGCGAGGCGGAGCCAAUCCGUAAAGCAGGCCUCAGUUCAGAUUGCAGCCUGCAACUCGACUGCAUGAAGCCGGAGUUGCUAGUAACCGCAGGUCAGCAAUACUGCGGUGAAUACGUUCCCGGGUCUU
rnacentral:rRNA from 1 species